UUGGUUUAAAUCAUUGUGAAUCUACACAUUGAAAAUUGAACCCACACAAAGUGAUGGGACAUAUAUUGAUUUCAUCCAA
rnacentral:pre_miRNA from 1 species